AUGGCUCUUUGAAUACCCUUUAUAAAGAGUCUGACCUGCCCAGUGGUGUCCCUAAACGGCCGCGGUACUCUGACCGUGCGAAGGUAGCAUAAUCAUUUGGCUUAUAAUUGAAGUCUGGAAUGAAAGGUUUAACAAGAAUGAAGCUGUCUCUUAAGUUAUUUUAGAAUUUUAUUAUUAAGUUAAAAAGCUUAAAUAUUAUAAAAAGACGAGAAGACCCUUUUGAGUUUAAGAAUAUGUAUAAAAUAUUUUACAUUUAUGAAAAUAUAUUUAUGUAAAAAACUUUGGUUGGGGCGACCCAUGAACAAUUAAAGCUUCUCAUUAAACCUUCAGGUCUAUUUACUGUGAUCCAUUAGUAUAAUGAUUAAUAGAAUUAAUUACCAUAGGGAUAACAGCAUUAUCUUUUUAGAGAGUUCAAAUUGAAAAAAAGGUUUGUGACCUCGAUGUUGGACCAAGAUAUCCUAAAGGUGCAGUAGCCUAUAAGGGUUGGUCUGUUCGACCAUUAAAAUCUUACGUGAUCUGAGUUCAGACCGG
rnacentral:rRNA from 1 species